rnacentral:rRNA from 1 species
AUUGAACGCUGGCGGCAGGCCUAACACAUGCAAGUCGAGCGGAUGAGGAGAGCUUGCUCUUCGAUUCAGCGGCGGACGGGUGAGUAAUGCCUAGGAAUCUGCCUGGUAGUGGGGGACAACGUUUCGAAAGGAACGCUAAUACCGCAUACGUCCUACGGGAGAAAGCAGGGGACCUUCGGGCCUUGCGCUAUCAGAUGAGCCUAGGUCGGAUUAGCUAGUUGGUGAGGUAAUGGCUCACCAAGGCGACGAUCCGUAACUGGUCUGAGAGGAUGAUCAGUCACACUGGAACUGAGAAACGGACCAGACUCCGACGGGAGGCAGCAGUGGGGAAUAUUGGACAAUGGGCGAAAGCCUGAUCCAGCCAUGCCGCGUGUGUGAAGAAGGUCUUCGGAUUGUAAAGCACUUUAAGUUGGGAGGAAGGGCAGUAAGUUAAUACCUUGCUGUUUUGACGUUACCGACAGAAUAAGCACCGGCUAACUCUGUGCCAGCCGCCGCGGUAACAC